UACGAAGGGGGCUAGCGUUGCUCGGAAUUACUGGGCGUAAAGGGCGCGUAGGCGGCUCGACACGUUCGUUGUGAAAUCGCCCGGCUCAACUGGGCGGGGUCAGCGAAUACGGUCGAGCUUGAGCAAGCUAGGGGGCAAUGGAAUUCCCGGUGUAGUGGUGGAAUGCGUAGAUAUCGGGAGGAACACCAGUGGCGAAGGCGGUUGCCUGGGGCUUUGCUGACGCUGAUGCGCGAAAGCUAGGGGAGCAAACGGG
rnacentral:rRNA from 1 species